UAGUCAAUUGUUAUUAGAAUUGUAGUUGUAGUAUAAGUAGUGUUUAACCACUAUUGUUAUACUUAAUGCUAACACCGUUUAUGCGCACGAGCACGUGAUUGAUAAUCCUUUGCGCGCCACUGUCCAAAAACGAUAGCGACGGUCAGAUAGCUAGACGCCAUUUGAAUGUGCUGAUUGAGCAGGUUUGCAAUGGCAGUUUGCGCAUUCUCACGAACAAAAGCUGGCCUAUUAUAGCGUAUAAUUUAUUAUGACCCAGAUAAUUUGACGAUAAGUACAACUCAUACAACUUAAAUAGCACAGAAGAUAACAACAAACGUCAAACAUGACAGAAAUGAGCAGAUCAAAAUGAGCCGCUCUAUGGGAUAACGAAGAUAUAAGCAUGUGCGUAAAGUGAAGUCUCAGAUUAGUCUGUGCAGUCCGCAAAGGCUAAUAAGAAACGACACAUUCGGCAUAAAAAUAAAUACGAGUUUAGACAAUAUCGACGUUGUUUACAUAGAGACGACGUGAAUGACAUCAUUACAGAAGGAUUGAGACAAUCGCUUUGCUGUUUACAUAUAGACACGAUGUGAAUGACGCAAGUGAAUACAAUGCUUUUCAUAUACAUGCUCGUGAUAAGAACCUUUCUUGUGUCUUGUGGAACCGCAAUAUAUACCGAAUAUUUCAUUGACCUCAACCCAUAGAUGAGACAAGCAGAAGGAGGAGAUAAAUCAGCUUUUAAAGAACGGGAUAUGAGUUUUGCCUAACUUCAUCACGUUAAGACGAACCAUAUCAUUAACGAGUGGAGUAUUAUCUACAGCAUUGCCACACCAUUUGCGGAAAUGAUAGACAUUUAUUGAUAUGACCCAAUACAAUAACAUGUUUGAAAUUUUAAAGCGACAUAUAUUAAGAAAAGUGGAUUGAAUCCGCGGUAUGUGUGUGGCAUUUACACGGAGUCAGUUGUGAAAUACAAAUGUAAUAAAUAGCAACAUCGGUUAUUUCUAAUCAAACAUUCAUCAAGAUAUUUUGCAACAUAGAGAGUAAGGAAAACCAAUCGAAUAAAUGAGUAUCAUCAUGAACGGAUUCAAAAUGAUGAUUGCGGUCGCUAAUUAAAAGAACAAUGAUUAACGUACAAGCCGAAUUACAUAGAGUACAUGUUCAGUUGGUUAUAGUGCGGUGGAAUAAUUUCGUAGUAAAUGAGAUAGGUGCAAUAUAACAAGAACUGCGAUAUAGUGACGAUAAUCUCGUCAUGUUAGAAUAUUCGGAGUCCAGGCAAAGUUACAGGUUGGUAACUUGUGCUGCUGUUACAGCCUUCAUAAUAGUGCUCUUUGUGUUUCUAUGGUAUCACGUGCUGCACACGUGCCUUUCAGUCGCACGAGAAAAUGAUGAUCUUAUAACUAUGCUGAGGCAACGGUGUGAUGAUGCAAUAUACGUAAGUAAUGAUUUGUACGACUGUUUCGGAAUAAUGCGUCAAAAGAAUAAUUAGUGAACGAGCGUAUGUCGCAAGUCACGGAUCGCCAGAACAUGAAGUUUGCGUCACGUAAUCGACAAAGGCACCAAACGCAGACGGCAUGUUGACCGUGUUUCCUGAAGUAAACACAACAAUAUUAUCUACACAGCUUUGCAAUGAUUGAUUACAGUACAAAUUUGUGUUUGUGUUUUGAACAUCGACUACUUAUUUGAUGACGAAACAAUAUUACAUGGACAUAUUAGCUAGCUCCUCAGUUAUGUAUGAAUAAUCAUUGGCAUGAUCAUAACAAAAGGGCUUCGGCGAAUACUAAUAACUGAGACCCAUACUGCAGAAUUUAAAAUUCAUUUUGUUAAAACUGUGCUUGACUGGAAUUAACUCAGUAAUGGCAUUGUGAACUCUUAAACAACAGACGUAUCAAACACAGGGUAUUUAAACAUCAAUUGUGUAUAAUCGCGCACUCCACCACCGUUGAGUAAAAGCAAGAAGGUAUCUUUAACGUACUCAUCUGGAUUCAGACCCAGCAUGCAACUGCGAAUUUUUGUUGUUGUGCAAAUAAUUCCAUUGAUACAUUUAAAAUAAGUAGACACAAGUUAUCAUCAUGUCGUUCGUAUUAGUUGCUAAACAUAUGCACCAUAGCAUUCAUUACUAGUCAAGCGAUAUCCCCAUGAACAUAAAGAUAACCACCAGAUAACAAAGGACAAUGGCUUAGUUGUAAUGUCCCCGAAAAGUCAUCCGUUUCUCUUUUUAUAUGCAGGAUGCCAAUAACAAUUGGCGGAUUAUCCCGCACAAAAGCUGACCUAGCAUAGCGAGCGUUUUUGACCCACAGAAUGUGACGACAACGACAACUUAAAAAUCACAAAUCGAUACGCAAUAGGUCGAAUGUCAAAUGUCAAAGAAAUAAGCAGAUUGAAAUGUUUAAACGGACGAUACUUACGUUUAUGUGCUUCUUAAAGGUGACGGGGAAAUGUAUUGGCAAUACAAAGUAGGACUUCGUAAUCCAUGGCUAAGAACACUUGAGUCUGUAGGAAAUUAUUUUGAACCAGGGAUUGACUUAUAUGUCGCUGUCAAUGUCUACGGAUCAGAAUGCUUGAUGGUAUGUUUGUACAGAUCAUGCAAAAUAUGAGACUCAAAGGCACUGCUUACUGUUGAUGCAUUGGUCUCACAGAUAGAUGUUUUGGAAAACAUCGUCUGGGAUCAUUACGUGAACAAUAGCACAAUUUAAAAUAUGAAGAUACGUUCAUGCCUCCAUUAUUUAUAAAUGAACACGUACAAUCCGCAUUCAUUCUAUAUAUCCAUGGACUAUUUAUCAUUAAAAUGCAUGUUGAUCAAAUUGCUUGGUUCUUAUUGCAAUACCCUAUCGCAAACAAAACAAGAGGACCACGGACAAUAAGGCGCUAACCCGAGACCCAAAGGUAUAAGACUAUUCUGGGACAGUUUAUUUACUUCAUUGAGACAAAUUGUCUGACGAAGUUUCAUGAAGAUUGACCAAUAAAUGUGGC